UUUUAUGGCCUCUGUAGCUGUUAUAGCUGGCAUCUUCUAUUCAUACCUUAACUGUCUUUUCCAUUUUGAUAUCAGAACAUAUUCAUUUUAAUUCUGUCAUUUCAAAUUCCAAAAUAUUUUUCCGCGGGAAAAAAUUAGUCUGUGCGUCACAGUGUACCUAAAAAUUCGGCAUUACCUGUGAAUUCACAUAUUAUCUAUAACUUUUCCUAACUAACUCCUGUAGGUGGCACUGUUCCUGCAGAAAACACUUUUCCCAAUUCCCCUUUAGGGAUGUCAUCUCCCCAGAGAUCUGUGUGGCUUCGGACAGCAGGUCCAGAGAGGGAGCCAGGGCAACAUGGCUGCCAGAGCAUUUCCUUCUUUCCCAGAAGUGCCCUCCAUGAGGUACCCAUGGGCUGCCCUUUAUGACCAUUCAUGAGCUCUGGGCCACCCCCAUAUUCUCCAACCUGGUGGCCUUUGGGACCUCACCCUCCAUCUCCGUCUCCACCUCCACCAUUUGAGCCUUUAGCCGAUCCAGAAGCUGGUGUCACUCCCAUGAGUCACAAAAACAAGCACUCUACCAAAAAUGCCAAGAAGGACCAGGAAAAUGCUGGGGCCAUUUUCAGUUGGCAGUGUGGAUCCAUGGGGACCUCCUCUGUUAACUGGAAGAUUCUGCACACCCUACCUACCCUAGAGGCCACCCUACGGGCUCCUGGGCACAUCCACCUCCUGAACCUUGGUGGCCCUGGGUACUACCCUAAACCCCUCCACCUGCACCACUUGGGUCUUUUGCAGAUCCAGAUUUUGCUCCCGUGAUUGACAACAAAACUGACUCUACCACAAGGACCAAGAAGGACAAGGCCAUUAUGUAUGCAAGAGGGCCUGGUCCUUUCCUAGGUUUGCCUUGCAAGCUGUACCCCAUGGAUCACCCUUCAUCACCAGUCAUGGGCUAUGGGCCACCUCCAGCUCCUCCAAGUACUCAAUUUGGAGAAUUUGAAGUUUGAAGAGGACCCUGAACUGCGACAAAUGGGCUGUGGUCAUGUAAUAUAUUUAGAAAAGUUGUCUGAUAUACGUAUUUGACUGAAUUCUUUCCCUGACCAAUCCUGUCCCCUCUAUUUUGUCUUUGCUCUUUUCCCCUGAUAAACCCAUCACAGUUCUGU